GACGAACGCUGGCGGCGUGCUUAACACAUGCAAGUCGAACGAAGUGGCGAACGGGUGAGUAACGCGUAAUCAACCUGCCCUUCGGAGGGGGACAACAGUUGGAAACGACUGCUAAUACCGCAUACUGAAGGAGGGGAUUGCGUCUGAUUAGCUAGUUGGGUGGGUAACGGCCCACCAAGGCGAUGGUCAGUAGCCGGGCUGAGAGGAUGGACGGGCAAAAUGGGAAUGGGACAAGGCCCAGACUCCCACGGGAGGCAGCAGUGGGGAAUCUUCCGCAAUGGACGAAAGUCCGAAGGAGCCACGCCGCGGGAGUGAUGACGGCCUUCGGGUUGUAAAGCUCUGUUAAUCGGGGCGCGGUACCGGAAGAGAAAGCCACGGCUAACUACGUGCCAGCAGCCGCGGUAAUUC
rnacentral:rRNA from 1 species